rnacentral:rRNA from 1 species
GCCUACGGGAGGCAGCAGUGGGGAAUAUUGCACAAUGGGGGAAACCCUGAUGCAGCAACGCCGCGUGAGUGAAGAAGGUUUUCGGAUUGUAAAGCUCUGUUAGCAGGGAAGAGGAAGGACGGUACCUGCAGAGGAAGCCACGGCUAACUACGUGCCAGCAGCCGCGGUAAUACGUAGGUGGCAAGCGUUGUCCGGAUUUACUGGGUGUAAAGGGCGUGUAGCCGGGCUGACAAGUCAGAUGUGAAAUCCGGGGGCUCAACCCCCGAACUGCAUUUGAAACUGUUGGUCUUGAGUAUCGGAGAGGC